UACGUAGGGUGCGAGCGUUGUCCGGAAUUAUUGGGCGUAAAGAGCUCGUAGGCGGUGUGUCGCGUCGGCCGUGAAAACCUGCAGCUUAACUGUGGGCUUGCGGUCGAUACGGGCAUCACUGGAGUUCGGCAGGGGAGACUGGAAUUCCUGGUGUAGCGGUGAAAUGCGCAGAUAUCAGGAGGAACACCAAUGGCGAAGGCAGCUCGCUGGGACGGUACUGACGCUGAGGCGCGAAAGCGUGGGGAGCAAACAGG
rnacentral:rRNA from 1 species